rnacentral:lncRNA from 10 species
UACCACAAAGCAAAACAAAAAGCAACUGUGUUGACUGAAAGCAAGAUUUCAGAACAGGGCCUGGAAAGUGUCCCCCGAAAAUGCUUCAGAGUGAAAACUUACACGAAAGAACUUCUGGUUAAACGUGGCAGAGGAGUCUCUUGUGAAUUGUGAAUCUCUGCUCCCUCCCAAGCCCUACCAAAUACAACAAUACAGGAGUAAAAAAGAGUUAAAAAAAAAAAAACAAAAACCCGACAAGGUCUCUGAGAAUAGAAGAGGAGGCAGCAGCAGACGGAGGAUGUCACCACAUUUUCGUAAGGUGGGAAGCAGAGGAAGGAGUGAGUUUCACUCUCAGAGGAGGAUUUUGUUCUUCAAUUGUGGAGUGAUCUCUAUCACCAGUGACUAAAGAUGUUGGAGCACAGAGAGCCAUACCCCAAAAUAUGAUGCUUCGGCAUGCUGACUGCUUUGAAAAUUGAAAGGCCUCAGAAAUAAUCCUCAGUGCCAGGGUCUCCCUCUGACCUCCCCCUACCUCCCUUUCUCUCUGAUCCUGUCUCUCCCAAAGCACAGAAUGAAGCUGUUCUCUGAAUUCCCUUAUCUACCUAGAAACUGGACCCCCAAAGAGGAACACAAUUUGCCUUUGAUCCCUUCCCUGAAAUUUCAUUAACCAGAGAAAAUUAAAACUUCUAUCACAAAGGAAGAGACUGAACAUUAAACACCAUAGCUACAGCCCAGACAAACUUCUUCCCAAACCAUUGUUUGUUCUCCUGCCUGUUAAAUUGCCAGAGAAUCAUUCACAAGAUAAAGUCUGCCUUCUGGGUCCAUUCAUUCCCCACUAAAAAUCUUUUACUCCUACACCCUCAUGUCUCCUUCCUCCAUGAAGAAGGGUCUAUAAACCUCUAGGCCUCAUUGGGUUAUUGGGUAAUCAUUCUCAUGCAGUUCCCCUGUGCUCUGCAUGUUAAAUAAAUUUGUAUGCCUUUUUCUCCUACCUGCCUUUUGUCAUUUUCAGUGAACCUUCAGAAGGUAAAGGCAGAAGCUUUCCUUCUUUGCCCCUAUAGUGUCAACAACAGCCAGCCAGGCAAAGGGUUUCAGAAACCCAAGUGGGAUUAAGAUGAUUAGCCACAUGGCUCUAUUCUACAAACUAGUGGUCAGAAUAACAAGCGUUUGCUUAUUAGGAGGUCGAGGUGGGAGAA